GAAAUAUUUCAAUAGCCGCAAUACGUGCUAAGGUAGCAUAAUCAUUUGUCUUUUAAAUGAGGACUAGAACAAAAGAUUUAACAUUUCAUUUUAUUUACCUACUUUACUUAUUUAAUUUAUCUUAAAUGUAAAAAGACAUUUAUUCUUCAGAAAGACGAUAAGACCCUAUUGAACUUAACUUAAGUUAAACUGGGGCAGUUAAUUAAUUAUAAUUUUAAUAAUAAUAUUUAACCAAAAAUCUAAUAUCAUUAAAUAAAUCAGUUACCAUAGGGAUAACAGCGUAAUUAUAUUUUAAAGUCCUUAUUUAUAAUAUAGUUUGCGACCUCGAUGUUGAAUUAAUUACCUAAUUAGAGCAAGAUUUAAAAAAGGAGGUCUGUUCGACCUUUAAAAAAUUACGUGAUCUG
rnacentral:rRNA from 1 species